UACGUAGGGUGCAAGCGUUAAUCGGAAUUACUGGGCGUAAAGCGUGCGCAGGCGGUUUUGUAAGUUUGUCGUGAAAUCCCCGGACUCAACCUGGGAAUUGCGAUGAAGACUGCAAGGCUAGAAUCUGGCAGAGGGGGGUAGAAUUCCACGUGUAGCAGUGAAAUGCGUAGAGAUGUGGAGGAACACCGAUGGCGAAGGCAGCCCCCUGGGUCAAGAUUGACGCUCAUGCACGAAAGCGUGGGGAGCAAACAGG
rnacentral:rRNA from 1 species